UACGUAGGGGGCAAGCGUUGUCCGGAUUUAUUGGGCGUAAAGAGCGUGUAGGCGGCCUGACAGGUCUGCUGUGAAAACUCGAGGCUUAACCUCGAGACGUCGAUGGAAACCGUAUGGCUAGAGUCCGGAAGAGGAGAGUGGAAUUCCUGGUGUAGCGGUGAAAUGCGCAGAUAUCAGGAAGAACACCCGUGGCGAAGGCGGCUCUCUGGGACGGUACUGACGCUGAGACGCGAAAGCGUGGGGAGCGAACAGG
rnacentral:rRNA from 1 species